AAAAAAAAGAAACGAGAAACGUGUAUCACAGAUCGCUGCCGACAAUUUGCACGCACUUGGAGCCACGAAUUCGUAUGGACACUCGCAUAGAAAUAUUUACCUUGCUACAUGUAAAAUGAAUAGAGAGCCUGCCUGAAUCGAACGAAGGAAGGCUCAACCGGCCCACUGUGACGUCGCCGGCCUACUGUCAGCUCAGCGCUCGCUCGGCCCCGCGGUCAACUAACCUACCGUGUUCGCCGCGCAGACUUUACCGACAAAAUAAAUCGAUUCGGCACCGCCCACGCGUAUAAUUUGUCCACGAUAAAUCCUAACUGAUUAUAUAACUAUUUUACGUGUAAAUUUCACAUUGAUAUCAUAAUUUUAUAAAUAUCUAAUGUCGUUUCAGUCGCUCACUUGACUAGCGUAGUAGUCAGGUGUGAAACGCUCACGCGCACAGCCACACAUACAGAGACGGCGCACGUUUCCCUCGCAGAUCUCGCGAUUCGUAGAGCCAUAGGCGUCGUUGGACCAAAAAAACUCUGUUCACCGUGUUAAGGGUGGGAGGUGAGACCAUGUAAGAAUAUCAAACGCAUUGACGUCUUACGCAGCAAGGAAGGUAUCAAGAAAAGAAUUGAAUAAAGCGUAAUACUACGGAGAAUCAUAUCAGAAUUCCAAAGGGGCCUCGAAUGCGCGACACGUGCGACUUCGAAUUAGAAAAAGUAAACACGCGUUCGGCCAGGUGGCGCGGAAUGUCGUUGCUACAUCGAUGAGCAGUUUUACGCGCACAGCGAAAUAGACGACUGACCGUCGAGGAAGAACAGUGAUGGACCAGGUUCGGCGCCGUUCCAUCUCUCACGCAACAUUAGCUAUUCAAACGCGAUUCCGAAGAGUGUUCGAGCCGACAUCGGGCUCGUAGUGUUUCGUUUUUAAAAAAGCACAGCCCCGUUUAACCGUUGCCCCGAGCUAUCGACGUCCAGACUGUCUCAAAAUCGUUUACGAUCAUCGGUUACACCUGCGGCGGCCAUACUUCCUCGACGGUGAUCCUCUCUUUGGCUAUCGAAUUCUCGAUCGAAUUUUCAAUGAUCGAAAUUUCAGACAGAGGUAAGAACGAUUUUUAACGAAUGGAGGACAAUUGUAUCGAUUGUUUUUCCUACAAUGUCGCAAUUAUGACAAAAAGAAAGGAAACAAAU